UACGAGGGGGGCUAGCGUUGUUCGGAAUUACUGUGCGUAAAGCGCGCGUAGGCGGGUUUCUAAGUCAGGUGUGAAAUCCCAGGGCUCAACCUCGGAACUGCAUUUGAAACUGGAUACCUAGAGUACGGGUGAGGUUCGUGGAAUACCGAGUGUAGAGGUGAAAUUCGUAGAUAUUCGGUGGAACACCAGUGGCGAAGGCGACGAACUGGACCGUUACUGACCAUGAGGUGCGAAAGUGUGGGGAGCAAACAGG
rnacentral:rRNA from 1 species